GAUGAACGCUGGCGGCGUGCCUAAUACAUGCAAGUCGAGCGAACAGACGAGGAGCUUGCUCCUCUGACGUUAGCGGCGGACGGGUGAGUAACACGUGGAUAACCUACCUAUAAGACUGGGAUAACUUCGGGAAACCGGAGCUAAUACCGGAUAAUAUAUUGAACCGCAUGGUUCAAUGGUGAAAGACGGUUUUGCUGUCACUUAUAGAUGGAUCCGCGCCGCAUUAGCUAGUUGGUAAGGUAACGGCUUACCAAGGCAACGAUGCGUAGCCGACCUGAGAGGGUGAUCGCCCACACUAGAACUGAGACACCGUCCACAGGCCUACGGGAGGCAGCAGUAGGGAACCUUCCGCAAUGGGCGAAAGCCUGACGGAGCAACCCCGCGUGAGUGGUGAGGGUCUUCGCUUCGUAGAACUCUGUUAUGAGGGAAGAACACAUGUGUAAGUAACUAUGCACGUCCUGACGGUACCUAAUCAGAAAGCCACGGCUAACUACGUG
rnacentral:rRNA from 1 species